CAGAGUUUUUAAGAAAGCCAGUCCCAACGGAAAGCUCACCGUCUAUCUGGGGAAGAGGGACUUUGUGGACCAUGUGGACCUGGUGGAGCCUGUCGACGGCGUCGUCCUGAUCGACCCAGAGUACCUGAAGGAGAGGAAAG